UUUCCCUCUCCUCUCUAUUCUACUUCCUGCUCUACGAGUUUUUCCUCUAGUCUAUAUGCUAGCUCUAUAAAUGUAUGAUAUUGUGGCCACAUUAUUAAAAUGAUAUCUGCCAGGUUUACCUACUCUAUGCGUUUGCACUAGUUCAUCAUCCAGCUGCAGCUCCUGGAGUCGACUCAGGAGUUGCUCCUCAUUACGGCACACCUUGUCCUGUGCAUAGAGGCCUUCAGGCAUCACUCUCUGUUGACCCAUGCCCAUCAGAGCAACUUCCAUGGCCAGUGACAGAUCAUUCUGAGGACCUGGCCUCUGACUUCUCAAAUCCCUCUGGCCCUUUUUGUUCCCUUUGGAUUACUCUUCAGACAUUCACAAGAUUUCCAGUUGGCGCUGCUGCUGCAACCUGAGAGUAUUGAUAAUGGCCACUGACCCAGAGCUACAUGAGAGAGAGGAAGGAUAGUGAUGCUCGGCCGCUCAAUUAUAAGGACUCAAACUGCUUCUACAGAGGACAAAGGAAAAGACAAGCAGUGAGGUAUUCCAUCUUUCCCUUGAGCUAAGUCUUCUGAGAUAAAACCAACCCCAAUGGGGGCCAAGAUCCAUGAGUCAUGAAGAACUUGAAGGGGAAAAUAAUUUAUUUGGACUUGGAUUUUGAUACUGUUGAUCAGCUAUGAUGCCUUAAAACUAUCAUAUUCUUGGAUCCUCUCUGUCACUAUAGCAGAGUAUCACAUAUUCUACAUUACCACUUUUAUAACAGUUCCAGCCUUCAAAGGACAGGAAGCGGCAGAGAAGAAUUCAAAAGAGAAUUCGAGACUGGAAAAAAGUGGCAAAGGGUAAUCUCAGGAAAACAGUGCCUAUGUAAGCAAAAUCAUUUCCUUUCUUUUUAGUUCAAAAUGGAAACGAGCAGGAUGCUGAAAGAUG